rnacentral:lncRNA from 1 species
GCAGUGUUGUCGUCUCGUAGGCUUGAAAGACACUGGCCUUAGGAUGACAUGCGGCAGGAAGGAAGGACGGAUCUGGGGUUUUUCAAGACUCACUGAGAUGCACAAGGAACCAACCCUCAAGUAGCCAACUCGUUCCUGUUUGCAUGUGUCGACUGAAAAGAAUCAAAAUAAACAAAAUAUAACUAUUUCUAAGAGGUUACAACUUGCAGGCAGGAAGCAGGCCUCUACCUGAGGCCAUAAAGCAUACUUUGAAGGAGAAAAGGUAGGUAUUUAUGCUAGGUGGAGAGGUAGGAUAUACGUAUUCUGUAGCAUACAGGAGAAGCCUAUGAAAAUUCAUGGAGGAAACUCGUUAGAGACACGCACUGGGCUUACAUAUGAAGAAUAUCCAAAAGCGGAUGACCUGUGUUCACUCUGGGGUGAAGAUUUAACAUUUAAAUGUAUUAUAAUUAGGCUGUAAAUGCAAAAAGGUGAAACAUAGGGCACAAGUUCACGAUCUGUGCAAUCUCCAGAGACCAGUCUGAUCUAGCCUGCAGCUGGCAGUCAUCUGUCAAGAAGGGGCUCUUUGUAGCCCAGAGUAGCUGUCAGGUUGGAACCAUAAAACCAAAAGGAGGGCAUCGGCGGUUAGGUGAAGAAAAGAAGUCUUUUGGCCUUUUUUCCUCUUCAAGUCAGCUUUUGAUAAGAUCUAGUAAUAAUAAGGGGAUGGGUGUGGCUGCAGGUGGGACAUGUCGGUUCUCUGUCCUGUCACAGCUAAGAACUAAGAACUUUAGAGUCUUUCAGCCAUAGAGGGUCCUGUCAUCCAUUGAAGGGAUCAGUCCAUUGGGAUUUUGCCAGUUUUAGCAUUGAUGCUGUGUCCUGGGAAACCCCUGAAUACUUAUCAUAGCAGAAGUUCAGCCACUGUAGCCCUACCUCAGGACCGCUUUUAUGGGAAAGAAUAAUUCCUUUAACUGCUUGAGCCAUUUGAGUUGUGGCUGCUUUUGGUACUUGUAAUAAAUUGAAAGCAUCUUGAAUGUUCUGGGACAGUAAAAGAAUGUGCCUUUGUUUCUGACAGCAAUUAUAAAAUCAAUUAUAUGUUUAUAUUCUAAAAAAUGUUUUGAGUAAUGCUGACAUCAUUGGAAAAGUGCAUCACUUAGAAAAUGUAUCUGUGUGUCAAUUUUGUUUGUUCAAAAUCAGUUUCAUUAAUUUGUGGGAAGAUACACCUUGUACAUUUUACCUAAUUAAAAAAAAUAUUGCCAGUUGAGUAUACUUGUGAUAUAUUCAAAGAUAAAUAAACUUUUUCAAUUUUAGAUAUU